AUGGAAUGGAUCUGGGUCUUUCUCUUCCUCCUGUCAGGAACUGCAGGAGUCCACUCACAGCUUGAGCUGCAGCAGUCUGGAGCUGAGUUGGUGAGACCUGGGUCCUCAGUGAAGUUGUCCUGCAAGGAUUCUGACUUUGCCUUCAUGGCCAGUACUAUGCACUGGGUGAAGCAAAGAUCUGGACAGGGCCUGGAAUUGAUAGGAUCUUUUACUAUGUACAGUGAUGCUACUGAGUACAGUGAAAAGUUCAAGGGCAAGGCCACAUUGACUGCAAACACAUCCUCCAGCACAGCCUACAUGGAACUCAGCAGCCUGACAUCUGAGGACUCUGCAGUCUAUUACUGUGCAAGACACAGUGUUAUAACCACAUCCUGA